rnacentral:misc_RNA from 1 species
CAGAGUCGCAAAACUCCCAACCCUUUGUGAACGAACCUACCAGUUGCCUCGGCGGCGAGCCCCCUGGGCGGACCGCCGGCGGAAUAUAAACUCUUUGCAUUACAGUAUCUCUGAUUGCUUAUUCAAUAAGUUA